rnacentral:rRNA from 1 species
UACGUAGGGCGCAAGCGUUGUCCGGAAUUAUUGGGCGUAAAGAGCUCGUAGGCGGUUUGUCGCGUCUGCUGUGAAAACCUAAGGCUCAACCUUGGGCUUGCAGUGGGUACGGGCAGACUAGAGUGCGGUAGGGGGUGACUGGAAUUCCUGGUGUAGCGGUGGAAUGCGCAGAUAUCAGGAGGAACACCGAUGGCGAAGGCAGGUCACUGGGCCGCAACUGACGCUGGAGACGCGAAAAGCGUUGGGGAGCAAACAGGG